rnacentral:rRNA from 1 species
GAUGAACGCUGGCGGCGUGCCUAAUACAUGCAAGUCGAGCGAACAGAUAAGGAGCUUGCUCCUUUGACGUUAGCGGCGGACGGGUGAGUAACACGUGGGUAACCUACCUAUAAGACUGGGAUAACUUCGGGAAACCGGAGCUAAUACCGGAUAACAUUUGGAACCGCAUGGUUCUAAAGUGAAAGAUGGUUUUGCUAUCACUUAUAGAUGGACCCGCGCCGUAUUAGCUAGUUGGUAAGGUAACGGCUUACCAAGGCGACGAUACGUAGCCGACCUGAGAGGGUGAUCGGCCACACUGGAACUGAGACACGGUCCAGACUCCUACGGGAGGCAGCAGUAGGGAAUCUUCCGCAAUGGGCGAAAGCCUGACGGAGCAACGCCGCGUGAGUGAUGAAGGGUUUCGGCUCGUAAAACUCUGUUAUUAGGGAAGAACAAACGUGUAAGUAACUGUGCACGUCUUGACGGUACCUAAUCAGAAAGCCACGGCUAACUACGUGCCAGCAGCCGCGGUAAUACGUAGGUGGCAAGCGUUAUCCGGAAUUAUUGGGCGUAAAGCGCGCGUAGGCGGUUUCUUAAGUCUGAUGUGAAAGCCCACGGCUCAACCGUGGAGGGUCAUUGGAAACUGGGAAACUUGAGUGCAGAAGAGGAAAGUGGAAUUCCAUGUGUAGCGGUGAAAUGCGCAGAGAUAUGGAGGAACACCAGUGGCGAAGGCGACUUUCUGGUCUGUAACUGACGCUGAUGUGCGAAAGUGUGGGGAUCAAACAGGAUUAGAUACCCUGGUAGUCCACGCCGUAAACGAUGAGUGCUAAGUGUUAGGGGGUUUCCGCCCCUUAGUGCUGCAGCUAACGCAUUAAGCACUCCGCCUGGGGAGUACGACCGCAAGGUUGAAACUCAAAGGAAUUGACGGGGACCCGCACAAGCGGUGGAGCAUGUGGUUUAAUUCGAAGCAACGCGAAGAACCUUACCAAAUCUUGACAUCCUUUGAAAACUCUAGAGAUAGAGCCUUCCCCUUCGGGGGACAAAGUGACAGGUGGUGCAUGGUUGUCGUCAGCUCGUGUCGUGAGAUGUUGGGUUAAGUCCCGCAACGAGCGCAACCCUUAAGCUUAGUUGCCAUCAUUAAGUUGGGCACUCUAGGUUGACUGCCGGUGACAAACCGGAGGAAGGUGGGGAUGACGUCAAAUCAUCAUGCCCCUUAUGAUUUGGGCUACACACGUGCUACAAUGGACAAUACAAAGGGCAGCUAAACCGCGAGGUCAUGCAAAUCCCAUAAAGUUGUUCUCAGUUCGGAUUGUAGUCUACAACUCGACUACAUGAAGCUGGAAUCGCUAGUAAUCGUAGAUCAGCAUGCUACGGUGAAUACGUUCCCGGGUCU